AUGCAAGUCGAGCGGAGAUAAGGUGCUUGCACCUUAUCUUAGCGGCGGACGGGUGCUUAAUGCUUAGGAAUCUGCCAUUUAGUGGGGGACAACAUUCCGAAAGGAAUGCUAAUACCGCAUACGUCCUACGGGAGAAAGCAGGGGAUCUUCGGACCUUGCGCUAAAUGAUGAGCCUAAGUCGGAUUAGCUAGUUGGUGGGGUAAAGGCCUACCAAGGCGACGAUCUGUAGCGGGUCUGAGAGGAUGAUCCGCCACACUGGGACUGAGACACGGCCCAGACUCCUACGGGAGGCAGCAGUGGGGAAUAUUGGACAAUGGGCGGAAGCCUGAUCCAGCCAUGCCGCGUGUGUGAAGAAGGCCUUUUGGUUGUAAAGCACUUUAAGCGAGGAGGAGGCUACUAGUACUAAUACUACUGGAUAGUGGACGUUACUCGCAGAAUAAGCACCGGCUAACUCUGUGCCAGCAGCCGCGGUAAUACAGAGGGUGCGAGCGUUAAUCGGAUUUACUGGGCGUAAAGCGUGCGUAGGCGGCUUUUUAAGUCGGAUGUGAAAUCCCCGAGCUUAACUUGGGAAUUGCAUUCGAUACUGGGAAGCUAGAGUAUGGGAGAGGAUGGUAGAAUUCCAGGUGUAGCGGUGAAAUGCGUAGAGAUCUGGAGGAAUACCGAUGGCGAAGGCAGCCAUCUGGCCUAAUACUGACGCUGAGGUACGAAAGCAUGGGGAGCAAACAGGAUUAGAUACCCUGGUAGUCCAUGCCGUAAACGAUGUCUACUAGCCGUUGGGGCCUUUGAGGCUUUAGUGGCGCAGCUAACGCGAUAAGUAGACCGCCUGGGGAGUACGGUCGCAAGACUAAAACUCAAAUGAAUUGACGGGGGCCCGCACAAGCGGUGGAGCAUGUGGUUUAAUUCGAUGCAACGCGAAGAACCUUACCUGGCCUUGACAUACUAGAAACUUUCCAGAGAUGGAUUGGUGCCUUCGGGAAUCUAGAUACAGGUGCUGCAUGGCUGUCGUCAGCUC
rnacentral:rRNA from 1 species